ensembl:lncRNA
CGCCGCCGAGGCCGGGCCUGGGCCCACGUCCUGCGCAGGGGCUGCGGGAGCCCGGCCGUGCCCCGCGGCAAGGUGCAGCCGCUGGGCGGGCACCGGUGGCCGGACGGCGGGGCGGUCAGCAGCUUCUUCCAAGUCAGAGCAGCCGUGCCUUCGGAGGGCCCAGCCUGCCAUGGGCGCUCCGGGCAGGGCGAGGACAGGCAGUGCUGGGCUCGGAAGGACUCUGCAAAGGAGCUGAUCUGCCCCUGGGAGACCCCCACAGAGGAGGGGAGAGCGGGGUAACCCCGGCAUGCACACUCCUGCCAGGCCUGAGAUGCAGUGUUUGCCAUGCAUGGCUCAGCACAUGUUGGAAAAGUGUGUUAGAGCCAUCCUCCAGCACCAGGGACACCCAGACCACCACGGCUCCCGAUAGCAGCCCCUGGUGCGCCCAGCUGUUUGUCAUCCAAGAGCUCCAAGCCUUUCUGGACUGGUUUCCUUUCCUGUCUUUGGUGUGUUCGGUCCUGCUCAUGACAGACUUGUCGAUAAACGAGCCUGGUUUCAUGCCUUGGAGCAGAUGGAGGACGUGUGGGUGAUGUCCUGGGAAACGGUGUCUUAUCGGAGUUUCUGGCUUGGCCAUGAGGUGUCAGCACACUGAACACAGCCCAGCUGGAGCAGGACUGGCAGAGCAGGACUCAGGCUUCAGUGCCAAAACUAGGGCGUGCUUGUGUCCCCAGCCCGGGCCCACCUCCUAAUAAUUACAAUUUCUUAAUUUGAAAGCAUGCUGAUUAAGAGACUGGGGAAAAUGGAGUGCCCCUCAUGAGAUGCUGUGUGCUGGGUGGCAAAGCAUCAUUCCUUCAUCCAAACCAGACAUGAUCCCAGAGGCAUCAAGGAGUGCAGAGCCCUCCUGCAUUAGCUCCAGCUUCCCAGUGCAUGGGUUUGAAACCAUGGCCCGACCUGGGAACACCUGGGAGAUCCCAGCCAAGUCCCUGUUGGUGUUUUGGGCCCCUCCAAACUGGGAUUGAUGUGUUGCCACAGGCUGUGCUGAUAUUGACUUGGACUGUUGCCUUCCUUGUGUCAGUGUUUGAAGGUGGUUGUUUUAUUCUCUGGACAAGUUUCCUCGGCGUGUGUGCGUGUGCCGUGGGUCCCUGUUCUGUACCUUGGCCAUGACCUGUGACUUCUGAUGUUGCUGUUCUGUACUUUCUGAUUAUAAAUGGAGUUUUUUCUGUGUGGCUGAUGUGGUUCCACAGGCUC